UGACUGCGUACCUUUUGUAUAAUGGGUCAGCGACUUAUAUUCUGUAGCAAGGUUAACCGAAUAGGGGAGCCGAAGGGAAACCGAGUCUUAACUGGGCGUUAAGUUGCAGGGUAUAGACCCGAAACCCGGUGAUCUAGCCAUGGGCAGGUUGAAGGUUGGGUAACACUAACUGGAGGACCGAACCGACUAAUGUUGAAAAAUUAGCGGAUGACUUGUGGCUGGGGGUGAAAGGCCAAUCAAACCGGGAGAUAGCUGGUUCUCCCCGAAAGCUAUUUAGGUAGCGCCUCGUGAAUUCAUCUCCGGGGGUAGAGCACUGUUUCGGCAAGGGGGUCAUCCCGACUUACCAACCCGAUGCAAACUGCGAAUACCGGAGAAUGUUAUCACGGGAGACACACGGCGGGUGCUAACGUCCGUCGUGAAGAGGGAAACAACCCAGACCGCCAGCUAAGGUCCCAAAGUCAUGGUUAAGUGGGAAACGAUGUGGGAAGGCCCAGACAGCCAGGAUGUUGGCUUAGAAGCAGCCAUCAUUUAAAGAAAGCGUAAUAGCUCACUGGUCGAGUCGGCCUGCGCGGAAGAUGUAACGGGGCUAAACCAUGCACCGAAGCUGCGGCAGCGACACUAUGUGUUGUUGGGUAGGGGAGCGUUCUGUAAGCCUGUGAAGGUGUACUGUGAGGUAUGCUGGAGGUAUCAGAAGUGCGAAUGCUGACAUAAGUAACGAUAAAGCGGGUGAAAAGCCCGCUCGCCGGAAGACCAAGGGUUCCUGUCCAACGUUAAUCGGGGCAGGGUGAGUCGACCCCUAAGGCGAGGCCGAAAGGCGUAGUCGAUGGGAAACAGGUUAAUAUUCCUGUACUUGGUGUUACUGCGAAGGGGGGACGGAGAAGGCUAUGUUGGCCGGGCGACGGUUGUCCCGGUUUAAGCGUGUAGGCUGAUUUUCCAGGCAAAUCCGGAAAAUCAAGGCUGAGGCGUGAUGACGAGGCACUACGGUGCUGAAGCAACAAAUGCCCUGCUUCCAGGAAAAGCCUCUAAGCAUCAGGUAACAUCAAAUCGUACCCCAAACCGACACAGGUGGUCAGGUAGAGAAUACCAAGGCGCUUGAGAGAACUCGGGUGAAGGAACUAGGCAAAAUGGUGCCGUAACUUCGGGAGAAGGCACGCUGAUAUGUAGGUGAAGCGACUUGCUCGUGGAGCUGAAAUCAGUCGAAGAUACCAGCUGGCUGCAACUGUUUAUUAAAAACACAGCACUGUGCAAACACGAAAGUGGACGUAUACGGUGUGACGCCUGCCCGGUGCCGGAAGGUUAAUUGAUGGGGUUAGCGGUAACGCGAAGCUCUUGAUCGAAGCCCCGGUAAACGGCGGCCGUAACUAUAACGGUCCUAAGGUAGCGAAAUUCCUUGUCGGGUAAGUUCCGACCUGCACGAAUGGCGUAAUGAUGGCCAGGCUGUCUCCACCCGAGACUCAGUGAAAUUGAACUCGCUGUGAAGAUGCAGUGUACCCGCGGCAAGACGGAAAGACCCCGUGAACCUUUACUAUAGCUUGACACUGAACAUUGAGCCUUGAUGUGUAGGAUAGGUGGGAGGCUUUGAAGUGUGGACGCCAGUCUGCAUGGAGCCGACCUUGAAAUACCACCCUUUAAUGUUUGAUGUUCUAACGUUGGCCCGUUAUCCGGGUUGCGGACAGUGUCUGGUGGGUAGUUUGACUGGGGCGGUCUCCUCCUAAAGAGUAACGGAGGAGCACGAAGGUUGGCUAAUCCUGGUCGGACAUCAGGAGGUUAGUGCAAUGGCAUAAGCCAGCUUGACUGCGAGCGUGACGGCGCGAGCAGGUGCGAAAGCAGGUCAUAGUGAUCCGGUGGUUCUGAAUGGAAGGGCCAUCGCUCAACGGAUAAAAGGUACUCCGGGGAUAACAGGCUGAUACCGCCCAAGAGUUCAUAUCGACGGCGGUGUUUGGCACCUCGAUGUCGGCUCAUCACAUCCUGGGGCUGAAGUAGGUCCCAAGGGUAUGGCUGUUCGCCAUUUAAAGUGGUACGCGAGCUGGGUUUAGAACGUCGUGAGACAGUUCGGUCCCUAUCUGCCGUGGGCGCUGGAGAACUGAGGGGGGCUGCUCCUAGUACGAGAGGACCGGAGUGGACGCAUCACUGGUGUUCGGGUUGUCAUGCCAAUGGCACUGCCCGGUAGCUAAAUGCGGAAGAGAUAAGUGCUGAAAGCAUCUAAGCACGAAACUUGCCCCGAGAUGAGUUCUCCCUGACUCCUUGA
rnacentral:rRNA from 1 species